rnacentral:lncRNA from 1 species
ACACUUACGGGGUUAUUUUUUAAUAUUUACAAUUAUACCCCUCUUACGAGGAUCUUUUCUCAUAUUAUAAGAUAUAUAUACCCUCUUUUACGGGUUGUUUAUCAUACUUACAAAUAUAAUGCUCUUAUGGAAUUGUUUUCUCAUAUUCAUAAAAAUAAUACCCUAUUUAUGGUGUUGUUAUCUCAUACUCACAAAUAUACCUCUCUUAUGGGUUAUUUUCUAAUAUUUAUAAAUAAACCACUUUUUCGGGUUCUUUUUGCAUAUUAAAAAAUAUAUCCCUUUUACGGGGUUGCUUUCUCUUACACACAAACUUACCCCACUUACAGGGUUGUUUUCUCACAUUCAUAAAUAAACUCCUUUUAUGAGGUUGUUUUCUCAUACUCACAAAUAUACCCCUCUUAUGGGGUUCUUUUCUCAUAUUUAUAAAUACACCACAUUUACAGUGUUGUUUUUUAUACUUACAAAUUUACCCUCUUACGGGUUAUUUAUUAACAUUUAUAAAUAUACCCCUCUUACUAGGUUAUUUUCUCAUAUUAAAAAAUAUACAUCUUUU